ncrna:unclassified sequences DTF3800-I RNA
UUGUAUUACCGGAGAGAAAUCUCGUCAGGUCGAUAGUUCAAUGUCGAUUUUAUUAAAUUAAGUGUAUGUUAAGUACACCCGCUUGAGCUGGGGAGAGACUACUAAAUAGUCUCUUUUUUUUUUCGUU